CAGCCGCCACGGUAAUACGUAGGGUGCAAGCGUUAAUCGGAAUUACUGGGCGUAAAGCGUGCGCAGGCGGUUAUAUAAGACAGAUGUGAAAUCCCCGGGCUCAACCUGGGAACUGCAUUUGUGACUGUAUAGCUAGAGUACGGCAGAGGGGGAUGGAAUUCCGCGUGUAGCAGUGAAAUGCGUAGAUAUGCGGAGGAACACCGAUGGCGAAGGCAAUCCCCUGGGCCUGUACUGACGCUCAUGCACGAAAGCGUGGGGAGCAAACAGGAUUAGAUACCCCAGUAGUCCCUGUCUCUUAUAU
rnacentral:rRNA from 1 species